rnacentral:lncRNA from 1 species
AGUUUGGUGCAUUAAUUGUAUGCCUGCUCUGUUUCACAGAGGUGCGAACAGGGAGCAGGUCCUGUUCAGAGUGAGGUGGGAACCAGAAGACAGGGAGUUUCCUUUUGGCUUGAAAGUGUAGCGGCUGCCAUUAGAAAGUCUGCUGGGAACUAGCUGCUCUGGAAUCAGAUUUGGGGAGUACUGUGUCUGUGCACAGGGCACACACCUAAGACAGGUGAUAUUUUGCAGCAUCAAAAUCCACCGGUAAGUAACUCAUUUUCAUAC